AAUCGCGGGUCGCCACGAAUCAGUGGGGCCCACGAACAGUGUAAGAAACUCACUAAAAUCGGUUCUUAAUUAGUAGUUUUUGUAACCGAUCCUUAGGAAUUUUGUGGGGACCCACACACUAAGAAACCCACUAAGAAUCCGGAUAAUCAUGCUAGAAUAAGAUUUUCCAAAUCUGUUAAUGGAAGCGUCUUUAGUUUAAAUAAAUUUCCAAUCGUCUUUUUUUUCCUUUUUUUUUUCUCUUCACCGUGACUUUUUUUUUCUAUGCGAGAUCGGGAUUUCUGGGUCCAACAAAAAUUAUGACUAGGAUCAGGUCUCGGUUGAGAAAAGGAAACACCAGUUUCAAUAUACCUUUUGUUUAAUGAAAGGAAACACCACCGUUGGUGGUGAAAGAAGAAUAUUGGUAUAAGAUGCAAAAGAGCCACAGUCAUGUUGAUCUUAAACCACCAACACCGACUCGACUCUGUCCAGUUUCUGCUUCUUGUCCUAAAAUCUUGGAACUUAAAGUCACCUGCUAUUCUUCUUUUUGUUUUCAAGGCAUGCACAUCUUGAUGAUCCUGGAAGCAGUGAAUGGGAAGGAGGAGCAAAAGCUGCUGCUGCUGGGGGUAUCACCACAUUGAUUGACAUGCCCUUAAACAGUGAUCCUUCAACUGUAUCUCCUGAAACUUUGAAACUCAAGAUUGAAGCUGCGAAAAAGAGAACACAUGUUGAUGUUGGUAAACACUAUUUGCUAUCAACACUUGCCACAUUUGUUGAUUACAGGGAAAAAAGAGCUCCUAAAUCUCUUUUUGUGUGUUUCUGGGAGGUUUGGUGCCUGAUAAUGCACUUAAUUCAACUGCUCUUGCAUCUCUCUUAGAUACUGGAGUUCUUGCAAUUUUGGCAAUUUUACCAAAAGAGCGGUGAGCCGAGAGAAGUUUUGUCUGAGAAAGGAAUCACUGGGACACAUAGUCUUGAAGAUAGAUUGAAGACAUUGAUCGACUCCAAAAAGGUUAUGCUUUCCAUGAAAGGUUGGUUCACUGGAUGAACUAAAGUGUGGAUUUAGCUCAAAAGUGGUGAAAACACUAAGAGGAGAGGAUGUUAGUUUCGGGUCGUGUGACAUCUUGAGUGAUGAAUAAGUAAGACAAGGGAUCAAGAGUUUCUCAAACUGAUCCACGUUUCCUCAGCUUUAUUGAGUUGAUUGGAGGAUGUGAUAUCUUAUGGAGCUAAGUAACAGUGGUGACCUCAACUUAUCUGAGUAACAACAAUAGUCUCUCCUCUCAUGAGAAGAUUCUUGUUCCGGUAAUAAUAAUAUGUUGAGGUGUUACAGCUUAUGGUUUGUCUGGUUAUUUUUAGGAUUUGAGGAAACUUUUUUUCGCAUAUCAGAUUCAUGAUUUGUUGGCAUGCUCCAUUUUCCAGUUGUACAACAUGUUUUUUUACAUCAAGCUCUAUGAUUUUGUUCAGUUUUGAUUUUUAUUCGUUGUUUUUUUUUGUAAUGUAUUCAAGAAAUUUCAUGUGAUCUUGUGUUAGUUUAUCUCACAUUAACACUUUAAAAUAUUUGUGGAUGAUAUAAAAAUUGUAGUAAUUUUCACACAUCCCCAAAACAUUAAUUACAAAGUGAUUUCACACAUGUCAGAUCUGCAAUCAGUUUAACAAAAAUACAUGACUACUAAAAUUGAUGAUGUGACUUAUGAGUACAUAUGACAUGGACAAUUACAUUUGAUUUAUAUUUUUGGUAAACUUUUUAAAUUAUGGUAAUAAACAAUUUUUGUUGAUUUAUAUUUUUGGUAUUUUUUUUGGA